CUUGUAUACGUACCUUGUUUGCGUGUAUCUAUUAAUUUUUAAGGACGUUGGGUACAUACGAGGACGUUGUGGAAGAUCGGGUUAAAUGGAAGUUUAGGACGAAAGUGGCUGAACUCAAAUAGUUGGAAUAAAAACGAAAUAGAAGAAGAUUAAUUCACAUUUAUUGUGUAAUCAUGAAAUUUAUUAAUAUUGUUACGGGGAAAACGGUUUCGAGAGGAAAACUAAACUCUUUUCGUAAAAUAUAUAUAUAGAUUUAGUAAAACUACCGAACUUUCAGCACAUAUAGACAA